GUAACCUAUCGAGGUUCUUGGUUCGCAGUAACUAGAAGUAUAAUUUUUUCUACUUUGAUUGAGUUAUUAGAGAAUCUGACUAGAUGUGUGUUUACUUUCUUUAGUCAGUCUAUAGAUAAUUUCAUCUAAAGAAAAGCAUAUAAAAUAACACAUCUGCCGAGCUCCCAUAAUCUACUAAUAUCCUUUUUACAUCAUAAGUAACUAUCAUCAUAAAGACUACCA
rnacentral:lncRNA from 1 species